rnacentral:lncRNA from 1 species
UUUUUUUUUUUUUUUUUUUUUUGUUGUCAUUCCUGCCUAAAGAUGUUAUCGUUCUUUACUAAAGAAUUGUCAAAGUAGGGUAAACCGUGGGUGUCCUUUUGUCAGCAUUUCUGGAUUAACAACAAUAUAGGUGAGCAUGGACGGAUACACCCACAGACGCAUUUGUAGAAACGUGUAUAUCCAAAUAUGGGAGUGCAGGAGAUCCAUCUAUAUGUUUCUUUUGUAACUUUGCUUUUAACUUUUGACUUGGCUACAAAAGUACAAAAUGGUAAAGCAUUAGGUACUUUUUUUUUUUUUUUUUUUAAUUUUGGAAACGUAGUCCUAAUGUUAUUAGUAUAAAAUAGUGGCAACUAGCGAGGUGUUUAUAGCUAGGAAAAAUUGAACUAAAAGAAAAAUGAACGACUUGGGGUGAAAACGAGUCUAUGAACAAAGAUGAGAAGAUCCAACUACCUAUAUUUCUUGUAGUUUUUUCUUUCAUGGCCAUAUUAUUUUAAGUUCCCUCGACUAUCUUAAAACGUAGCAAUUACAAAUUUUCAAAGCUAUUCAGAAACUUGUACUGAAUAGAAACUGUUCAUAAUUGUUCUUUGCUGCACCAACUUGCUCCAUCGAGCAAUUGAGUUUUAUUGGGGACUAGUAACAGUACAACAGUGUAAUGGUCAAUACCCAAAUGAAAGUAAAACAAUAAUACCAAAACUGAUCCACAUAGCUGAAAAGCUAGGCAUAGAUAAAGUUAGUGAAAAAACAUGGAGGCAAAAAACUUCCUUUAUACCUUUAAGAAUAGAAUUCUGCCAAUCGAUCCGACCUCAAGAUACAAGACAGACUUACCAGCAGCUAACAGAUAAUCCCUUGUGUAUAAAGCCAAAAUGAUUAUUGAUUUGUGGGUACUUAUCAGAUGGGGACUUCAAACGCGACAUCUGUUGAUUAUCUUUGAGGUGUAAAAAAAAAAAAUAAGAAUCCUCUUUUGUAAUUUUACUGUCCUAUCCCUUUCCUUUAAUCCAGAAUGAGGUAUGUCAUCUUGUUUACAAUCUUUAGUAGUUCUCCAAAAUAGCUGAUUUGUGGAAUCAAUCUCCAUUGUGUGUGUGUGCGUGUGUUUUUUUUUUUAAGUUAGAUAACAAAAAAUGAAAAAAAAAUUGGUUUAAAUAAGUAAAGUUGAAUUAAACAUUCAGCUUCAUAAAAAGUUAACUGCCAAUUUUCUCUCCUUAACUUUUUUACUCCUUUAUAUACAUGAAAAAUUGAUCAAUCUUCUACUAAUGUUUAUCCAGAGCCGGCCUGAACUAAAACUUUCCAUAUGCUUUCUGCAGACUGCCUUCUAAUUUUUUUUUUUUAAAAAAAAGACCCUCCUAACACGGUUAAUGGUUUCCCCCCACACCCCCCCCCUCCUCCUCGCUAGUUAUAUUAGAAGCAGGAUUUCCUUUUUCUAAAACUGCACAAGCUAAGUUUUGCUACUGUUCUAGAAGACUAGGAACUUAUGCGUGUGUCUUAUUCGUCCCAUCCGUUUGCUCUUUCUUGUUAAUUCUAGAAGACAUUGACGUGAAACAAAAGUAGCACUUAGUAUAGUAAGUAAUCACGCACUUCACUCUUAUAUUAGGUUUCACACUAUAAAUACAAACAUUGACAUUUAUUGACCCCCAAAUAAAUGCAAAUACAGUUAUUUACACAAACCCUUUUUUUUGCAUGCAUAUCCACCAACUUUUCCCCUAGAUUCUUUUCUGACAGGACAUACAAUAAAUAUAUCUAACUGAAACACAUUUUUUCUUUCUUUAUUAAAAUGUUCUUGAUAUCAUCUUGCUCUAGAAGCAUUUGAUCCAGCCAUUGUCCUGACCUCUUGUUCUUUCCCUUCUUUUCCCCCAGUUGACUAAUACGCGGCUUAAAUACCUACCCGUCGUCUAGACAUGCAUAUUUAUUAAAUCCUCCCCAACAAGAAAAUCAUCAUUUGCGUCCACCAAGCAUUUUAUCCUUCUCCUUUCUUAUUACACUACUCUCCAAUUCUCAACCAAAAUGGAUGAUGAUACCAAGAACAAAACUCCUCAUCUCCAAGAUGAUCACCAUCAGCUAGCUGCGGCAGAAACAGAAGAAGCAGAUGAAGCCCUUUCCCUUAGCGGGCUUAUCUUAAACUCGGAUGAAAUCGAGGUCCAAGAUCGAAGAAGAUCAUCCUUUUCUGAUCCAUCAGAGCUUUUCGAGUUCUUGAGCGACAAAAACUCCCAGAUGUCGCAUGCAGAAGAUAUCAUUUUCUGCGGUAAGCUUAUGCCAUACCAAGAAAACCCCUCUCGUCUGCCCAAUGCUCACAAUUUCCACAAGCAUCAUCAACUCACCAGACAUGAGAAACAACAAAGCUUCCAUCGUAGAAGAUCCGAGUCGUUAAGUGACCUAAAAACCAGCCUGUCCAACAGUGCUAGAAGAAACCAGCAUCAGUUCAUGAGGGCUAGCCGGUCUUUAGACUGCCGAAAGUUGUAUGGAAACAAGUACAACUCCCCCUCGGCAGCGGGCGGUUUCGCCAGGGCUGAAAAAGUAGAGAUUGAGCGGAGCUCGUCGACGAGAAGUUCGAACAAGGGUUUUAAUGCCACUGGGAUGAAAGAAAAGACUGCAAGACCAAGGUGGUACAUGAUGUUUGGGCCUGUGAGGUUUCCACCGGAGAUGGCUUAUCAAGAUAUAAAGAGCCGGCAAGUGCGGCAGAGUCCCGGAAGUUUGUUUACGUCAUUGGAGUCCCGCGAGAAGGCCAUUGUGAACCGGCCGCAAGAUCGGAGAUGGUCGGGCUCUUGGGAUUUGCUUAGGGUAUUAAGCUGCAAGGGCCAUGCAAGUGUAGCUGUAACGGCGUCGUUUGGCUGCCUGCAGGCGCAGCACAGUAUUUGAAUAGUUGACAUUGCCUCUGUCAUGUGCGUACCUCACGUGACUACUAAUACUUUGACAUAAUUGUCCAUGGGGGACGUGGAUGGAACUGGCUGAUUGGGCUGUGAAGAGGAAGGGCAAAAUGGGGUGUCUAGAAAGAGACAUCACGUAGAAGAGAAGAUAGUGUACUGUGAGACCACAUGGUUAAUGAUGAUCAUGACGCCUCAGAUGUAAUGAAGAAGGGUAGAAUAUUUUGUCCUCCAAUUUGUGUAGGGCCAUUUGAAAAAAUUAAUGGGGAUCACGGGGUCCCAAUGACGACAUGAAUUUGGUAUUUAUUUUGGGGAGUACAAUUUUUAAAUUUCUAACUUAUUAGGGGAAUUUUUCCAGCCUUGGCAGUUUGUUAUUUGGAAUGUUUGUGUGUUCUUGAAGUCGGCCAUUUUUUUUUUUAAAAAAAAAUCUAUUGUGUAUGGAUGUAAUUUGUCCUUCAAGUACAGUACUACAAAAAUUAUAGAGAUAAACGUUCUCAUCUCAAUUCCAACUUGAGAUAGGAAAACAAGUAGCAGCAGUAGAAUAUUUAAAUAACGAGGUUGCUGUAUAUUGCCAUGCGCUAUAUGGUGAUUGUUGAGCCUUUACGCAUUCUUGCGAUAAAAUUAUACCUCUGAUUUGAGCACUAAUGUUUCAGUGAGGUCCAGAAAGGCAAAGGUAAUAUUUGUCGAAAACCAUGAUUUAGAAAAGGAGCUUAUAGUACAUCAUAUAAACCGACAACUACAGAAAAAACUACAAAGAUGUCCCCGAAGACGGAUAUUCACAAGGACAUAAGUGAAAAUUUCUAGUGUUUGAAGGGGAUAAAAGGUACUUUCAAAAUCUUGGGACGCAGAAACUAAUUCCUACAAGAACAUAUGAAUAAUAUUUACAGUUAAUUUCUUAAGAAAUAUAGAACUGCUGCUGAUGAUGAUGCAAGUAAAAUAAAAAGAUAGUUGAAAAACGUGCUGAUGAUGCAAGUAAAUAAAACUCGGUAAAUAAUUCAUUAAUUGUUACUUUGACAGUGGCCUUCAUAUUAUUGUCUUCCUUGAUCAAGUAAUAUGUGAUCCUCGAUCGUUUAUCUCAUGCAAAAUGUCUAGGGCUGGUGGGGUGAGUGGUGAUGGGUAUACGGGUGAUGCCUGUGAACACUUUAACAGAAAAAUCUCUGUUCAGCACGAAAAUGAACCCAUUCAUUUCAUUGUCAAUGGAUCUGCAUUAGCAGCCUACCCCUUCAUAAUUCACCAUUGACGUCAGUGCUGUUAUCCUAUUAUCUUCGUCAUGAAGAUAGACAGAAUAAAGGUCGAAAUCCCUAAAAGUUAAUUAAAUAGCACUAGAUUUAACUUACAUAAUAAACUGUUGUUUUCAUUCUAAGUAUUUUUCACGUAAUUUUGAAAUGUCACAUGUUUCACCAUUUUCAGGAAUUAUGUAUAAGAAACGUAUGGUGAUCAUAUAGAUCGUAGGACCAAAUAUGAGUACUACAAACAACGUGCAAGGAACAUAUUUUAGACCCCCGUCCUACGUUAAUUGGCCAAGUUAAUUAGAUCCAUUUGAGUAACAAUACUCUCUGGCAAUAUUGUUAGACUUCAUAUUCUGAAGUUUUAUUCAUGAAAAUUUGGAUCGAAGUUUAUUUCCAAGAUAUUAUUUGCUUCCAUUUAGAAACAUGUUUUUCAAUCAAUCAAUUUAUUUUUUCAACUACUUUUUUAUCUUGUACACAUCACAUCAUAAAAAAUAUUACAGUAAUUAUUUUACAUAUAUAAUCUCAUAUCCAAACAAAUGUUGUCAUAGGGUUUUAAUAUCUCCAAUUUUAGUGACUUAACUUUUGUAUUUGGGUGAAAAGUCUGGAGUUGAGUAGCUGGGACAUGUGCAUAAUCGCGUGCACUAGAAGUUUUUGUACCACAUUAAACAGUUUGGAUGCCUUCUUCAGUUUGAAAUUCUACAGCAAACCAAUUUGAUAGUGAUUGGAUAGCCAAUCAACCAACGAGACUUCUUAUGAUGUAAUGUAUGCGAGAUAAAACGGUAGUUGAAAAAUAUAUUAAGUGAAUACGAGGUCUCCACAAUAUCCAGAAAAAGUUUUCCACAAAACUAACAAUCAAAACAAGCAAAGUGGGAAAAAACAAAAAAAUUUUGUUACUAAAAGUUUAUAAAAACCAAUUCAAGAGCAUUAUGUAGAAAGCUAACAGUAAGGUGCGUGGCGUACUUUUCUCUUGCGGUUGAAACAUCCAUGAUUUCCUUUUUGCUGGCUUAAUUUGCUUCAAUGAGUAACCGAGCAUUAUGUUUUGCUUCACAUUGAAGCUUGUUCUCCGUUGAUAUUUCUCUCUUCAUCUCUUUUAUUGCAUUACAGCUCAACUACCCUAGUAAUUAAAGUGUCGUGCAUCUUUAUAAUGACGGGACAAAGAAAAACAUCGGAAGUGAUAAACUAAAUAGUACGCUCUAUGUCAAUUGUCAUGAAAAAAAAAAAAAUCAAGACAUUCGUUACUACACUUCACUUAUCUGCAUUGUUUGGAUUGUAGUUUUCUAUCAAAAUUCUUUUUCAUAAAUAUAUUUUUCAAUCAUCUUUUUAUUCCACGCUCUAUGUAGUAUAUGUAUGUAUGCUUUUGACAAGAUUUAUAUAUUGGAACUUCAUUUAAAUAUGCACAAGAUUUUAACACUCUCUUAAUUUUUGUUUGAAAACUAAAAUUUUUUUAAUAAACAUGUUUACUUUUUUAUUAUACAAUCAAUCUUUUUAGCUUUCAAACUGACAAUAUUUGAAUAGUUAGAAAACUAUUUUGUUCUAAAACAUAAAUAAAAUAGUGAUAAAUAAUGCUAUAUUUUUAAAACCAGUGACAUAUUUUUGUUUUAUAUUUGACUAUAUUAUUUAUUUAUGUAAAAGUAAGAUAAAAUUAAAUUAAAUCUUCGAUUAAUACCUAUAUAAUCAUUAUAUAUCUUUCUAAGUGCAAUAAUUACAGUCUAAAAGCAUUUUAUUAGAUAUUUUAUGUAUAUUAAAAUUACUAUCUUAUAUUUAUAAAUAUUAAAUUAAUACUUACCGAUUCAUUCACUAAUUGAACCAGUGACCAAUUGACUCAAUUCCUUCGUGGGAGCCCUUGUCCCACCAAAUUUAAUAACUAUGGUUUUAGCAACCCUAGCCAGCCCACAUUCCUUUUUUUUUUUCGGGCUAGACUAAUUCCACUCCGGCCUGGAAAAGGAGGUCCCACUCCACUCCAAGCACAGUAACAAGGGGGCUCGAAUCUUGAUUGUCCAGAUAAAUCUAUCAUAUUCUAAAGAGAGAAAGCUGACCGCUCGAGCUGAUCCUCGUGUACGUUAAUUUUGUAGUAUGACAUAUGGAAUGCGCAGAAGACUCAGAACGGAUAGGAUGUCACGCGAUUUGCAUGAAAUGAGGGUCUGCUAACGUUAAAUGUGAACAGAUAGCGUCCAUUUGACGGACUUGUCAGCUGGGGACAAGUCAAGGAGGUCAGCUUAAUUUGGCACCGGUACUUUUGGUUUAAUUCUAGUGUGGACAGAUGCAAUACUACAAAAAAUGAGGUCAUUUUUUCAUUUUGACCUAGCUCCAAUCCAUCAGUCUUAAGAGCAACAAUGGCGUAUGUUAAAAGAGAAUUUAAGAAUUCACCUAGUACUUAAAUGGAAAAAUUCAUAUCAUUAGAUUUCAAAGUGAAUAAAUUUACUCAUUAAGCUGUUAUAACAUAAUUUUUGUGUUUUUUUUUUCUAACAACUGAAUGAGGUUCAACUCUGAUCUGUGCAUCUAAGAAAACUCUAAGAAUUAACUCAUAAGGAUACUUGCCAGUGUUGGGUGCGUUGGGUUAAUUUCAUUUUGUACCCUUGAACAAUAUCCGAAUUUUCACUUUGAUUUCUAAAUUUCAAAAUGGGACGCAUUAGUUUAAUCCCUAUAUUAUAAAAUUUGUCAUAUUUAAUCCGUAAAGUAUAGUACUUUUGCCCAAUUUAGUCCCCAAAGUAUACCCGCUAAGGUAUAAAAUCUGUCCCACUUCCUUGAGUAAGACAAAUUUUAUAGUGUAAGAACUAAAGUGUCUUAUUUUAAAGUUUAGGAAUUAAAAUGAAAAUUUGGAAACAGUUGAAGGGGUGCAAAAUGGAAUUAACCCGGGUACGCUUGAUUGAUUAGUUAUCCAUCCUUAAGAAUGGAGGGGCUUUCAUGCCUGCAUCAUUCACGUCAAACUUCAUGAGAGCCGGACUGGGUUUGUAUUAUUUGGGGCUUCCAAUAGUUAUGACCAAUAACAAAAUUACCCAAUUAGAGACUCCAUCUUCUUCCUAUAUUGCCUAAAAAAUGAAAGGAAACAAGAGUACAGUGGUAAAAGAGCAUGAAACUCAACAACUAGAAGCACAAGAUAACCAUCUAGAAUGCCAGGCAUCCAAUUUAGAAAGGGAGCAUGCAGCAAGUUAAAGGUAAAACAAGUAAAAGCAUGUGGUAUUUCAAAAUAAUGCAGCAUAUACCAUCCACAGAAUUUGUUUACUAGAGAUGAGCUAAAAUAUCUACCAUGAAAAUACACCAAGAUUAAGGAGCUAAUUCAAUACAAUGCAAGAAAAGUAGCAAUGUGUCCAUAUAAAACACUAAUGGAGACAAUAACACCUCUUUUACAGGCAAAAAGUGGCCAAGAGUCCAAGAUUCGACAUAAACUUUAACAGGUUCCUUUACUCAAAGUCUCCUACACAGAAACUGUGUUCUCAUGUUGACCAGUUAUAUCAUACAGUGCUAAAUAUAAAUCAUUGGUGCAGAAAAGUCGGUUUUUGGGCUCAUACUCCCAUUGAGAGCCAUCACGGGACAUGACUCCUAUACCAGUAUGUGAUAUACAUAAAUGUAAGUACCAUUCAAUGCUGAGACAACUAAUACAAAAUUUAGACUAACUUGGAUGCACCACUUGACCAGUAUAUAUCUCCACAAACAAUAAAAGAAUUUAAGUAGCUGCAGAUAUCCUAAGAAAAACCCAGAAACUUGGAUUGCCAUUGGAAAAAAAGAAGUCAACAACUUCAAGAUAAAUGGCAUAUCUCUGAUUACAUAAAGAAGCAAGAAUCAGGGAAAAUCAAGUCAAAGGGUGGUUCCUUGGUUUCUCAUCAUCAUCUUCUUCUUCCUCCUUUUUUCACUUCUCAGAAGAAAAUUUUGGACACUCAAAUGACAGUAGAAACUACUACGGGAAGCAUACACAUCUUAUCAAAUGGACCGAGCUAUGGCUCUAACAUUUCAAACAUUAAAGAUGAAAAAUUGAAAUCCUGAAAAAUUAGAUCAGCAGCAAAAUAAAUCUUUCUUUAGGGUGAUUAAAAUUAAAAUCUUUCCUAAGAUGAGGGAGUACAAAGUAAUCAACUGUUUAAGAAUAAGUAGCAAAUAGAUCUCUAGAUUUUCUCCCUACUUUGAGAAGAGUUUAAUUAGCACAUUCAUUUGUAAGCUUGAAACCAUCUUAAGAGUUAUUCUAUUGGCAUUAUGUCACCUCAUAAUCUUCAAGUAUUCAUUUCAUUGACUCACAUGGAGCAUGUACAACAUAAAAGCAACUGCCGCAUAUUUUCCAAAAAUGCAUCGGAUAUAAAAGCAUAGCAGCAAUGCAAGAACAAACAUGUGAUGGCUAAUCGAGGUCCAAUUCAACAAGAAACUUAUAUUGAUAGCGAUUUUCUAUCUACGUUCAGUAAUUUAAUUUUUCCGUCAUGUUCCUUGUACAUAUUUACUAUUUGCAGGUGUUAAGAUCCAGAUAGCAUGUAUUUUAAUUGGAAAAGCACGUGAAACAGUAUGUAUACGCUCAAUUACACAAAGCAAGUGCCUUAACAAUGUUUGAACAGAAUAUUUCCUGUCAGAAUGGUGAAUCAAGGUUACAGGCAACUGAUCAGGAAAUGCUAUAGGGUAAAACAUCAUAAACUACAUAUCUCAGCAAACAUACAGGAAUGUAAAAGAAUUAAUUUUCUGCCGACCAGAAAAAUAAAAACCUGAAAAAGAAAAACAACCAGUUUCAUGCUUAAUUGCACAUGUAAACCCCAC